rnacentral:rRNA from 1 species
AUUGAACGCUGGCGGCAGGCCUAACACAUGCAAGUCGAACGAGUGGCGGACGGGUGAGUAAUGUCUGGGAAACUGCCCGAUGGAGGGGGAUCACUACUGGAAACAGUAGCUAAUACCGCAUACCAUCGGAUGUGCCCAGAUGGGAUUAGCUAGUAGGUGGGGGAACGGCUAACCUAGGCGACGAUCCCUAGCUGGUCUGAGAGGAUGACCAGCCACACUGGAACUGAGACACGGUCCAGACUCCUACGGGAGGCAGCAGUGGGGAAUAUUGCACAAUGGGCUCAAGCCUGAUGCAGCCAUGCCGCGUGUAUGAAGAAGGCCUUCGGGUUGUAAAGUAAUUUCAGCUGGGAGGCGUUACUCGCAGAAGAAGCACCGGCUAACUCCGUGCCAGCAGCCGCGGUAAUAC